rnacentral:rRNA from 1 species
GUGAGGAAUAUUGGUCAAUGGGCGAGAGCCUGAACCAGCCAAGUCGCGUGAAGGAAGAAGGAUCUAUGGUUCGUAAACUUCUUUUGCAGGGGAAUAAAGUGCAGGACGUGUCCUGUUUUGUAUGUACCCUGAGAAUAAGGAUCGGCUAACUCCGUGCCAGCAGCCGCGGUAAUACGGAGGAUCCGAGCGUUAUCCGGAUUCAUUGGGUUUAAAGGGUGCGUAGGUGGUUUGAUAAGUCAGCGGUGAAAGUUUGCAGCUUAACUGUAAAAAUGCCGUUGAAACUGUCGGACUUGAGUGUAAAUGAGGUAGGCGGAAUGCGUGGUGUAGCGGUGAAAUGCAUAGAUAUCACGCAGAACUCCGAUUGCGUAGGCAGCUUACUAAGCUACAACUGACACUGAAGCACGAAAGCGUGGGGAUCAAACAGGAUUAGAAACCCGGGUAGUCC